CUGAUGGGAUGGCAGGUGGAGGGAGAGACUAGGGUCUGAUGGGAUGGCAGGUGUAGGGAGAGACUAGGGUCUGAUGGGAUGGUAGGUGUAGGGAGAGACUAGGGUCUGAUGGGAUGGCAGGUGUAGGGAGAGACUAGGGUCUGAUGGGAUGGCAGGUGAAGGGAGAGACUAGGGUCUGAUGGGAUGGCAGGUGUAUAGAUGGGCAGGUGUAGGGAGAGACUAGGGUCUGAUGGGAUGGGAUGGGGCAGGUGUAGGGAGAGACUAGGGUCUGAUGGGAUGGCAGGUGAAGGGAGAGACUAG